AGGUAUAAGCUUGGUAGUUUGCGCUUUGAUUUUUGAAGUUCCGUAAUUUUGUGUCUGGUAAUUAAUUUGAAAUUGUGAUGGUUGGUUUAGGCACUCAAGCUGCACCUAGGAAAAAGGGAACAGCUGCUUCUGCUUGAGGGUAUUUCAGGAUUCAGAUUUGGAUCUUAUGUUAAAGUGUACUUCUAUUGGUAUUUUAAAUCAUUAAGGGAACAAUUGAAUUUUCUAGAACAUCAUUUGAAGCGUUUUUGCCUUUCGGAUCCUUAUUGAUGUUAAUUUUGUUUGGAUACAUGAGUUUGCAUUUUAAUUCUUACAGACAGGAGAUUGACGUAAGUUGGAAUGCUUAUUUUUAAUUGUGCGCUAAUCUUAUUUACUCUUAUGCGUAAGUUCAUGUCUUGACAUACUAAUCAUAGCUAACAUUUUAGAGGCCGACAGGUGCCUGUUUCUCUGAAAUUAUUAUUGAGUAAUCUGGACUAUCUUUUUCUGUUUUUUCUAUGGUUCAUUAUAUUUGAAGAAGUACCUUGCUUGCAUGUUUAACUCUGAACUUUUAUGUAUGCAUUUCCUGUGGGUCAUUAUUUUGCGAUAAUGAUAAUAGUUGUCUUGUUUGUGCUGAUUGUACUUCUGUAGACUUGAGAUGAUGAAAGCUCCUCGACUGUGAGAAUUGAUAGAAGUUUGGAGGGAGGGGGUGUGCGUAAGGUGAAGUGUUAUUUAGAUUUUACAAAUUGUCUCCUGUAUUCCAAAAUUGUCUCAAAAUGUUGUAGAAUAAUACCACAUAUACCGUAACUUUCUGAGUAUACCAUUACAGAUUUGUUGAUUAGAGGGUUAUGUGUGGGCUUUUGUCCUUUAAGAUCCUUAGAAAAGGUUCUUAACUGCCAAGUUCUGAAGUCCAUCUCCAUGUUUUAGGUCAUUUAACAUGAUAGCAAUUCAGGGCAUUAGAAUACGUAUUGAAGAUUUGCUCUGGCUACAUCUUGUGAUUCUGGGUCCUGGUGACCUUUUAAUGCUAAGAGAUGGGCGAAUGACUAUUUAGAUUUGGUAUGCUGACUAGCUAAAUAUACUUUAUUACCUGUGGAAGGGUUUUGUGAGCCUGUAAAUUCUUAUAAGUUGUUGUUGAAUGAUGAAGUUGGAGUUCUGCACAGCCUUGACAUACCUCUUUGAUGCAUAUACUCUUCGUAUGAAAGAUUUCAAGAGGGUUUUCUGUCUUUGGGGUUAGUUAUAUCAAGAUUUCAAUUCCGUUUGACUCAUCUUUUUGCUCUCAUGAAAUGACGGAGAUCUCUAACCCUCAACCACAUAAAACCCCAUGAAAUCUUUCAUAUGAAGAGUCUGCAUCAAUUCCAUGUGACCUGCUUUCUGCUGAGUAGUUUCUUAGAAAAAAUAAAACUAAAAAAUUCCAUCUUCUUGCAAGCUGAGGGAAAUAACUUAUGUUGACCAAUAGUUGUUAUGCCUACAUAUUCUGGGACAUAAACUCGUGUGCAAUUUUUUUCAUUUUAUUUCCUAGUUUUAGUGAGGGGCCAAUGGGACAAUAGUUGAGCUACUUAUGUGCUCGUCGUGUUGCUCUCUAUUUAACCGAAGUGGAUAAUAGUUUUAUGUGCAACUUGUGUUACUACCACGUAAAUGAAGUGGACUAGUGACAGGCAAGAGGUGACCUGGGAGUGGUGCAGGGAGGGCGCUGGACGGAAAGAGGCAAAGGUGGGGGAGAGAUGAGAGGGGUAAUAUUGGGCUGGAAAGAUGUAGUGUCUGUAAAGUGGGCUGGGUCGGGUCGUCCAGUGUAAUUUGGGGCAUAUACUGGAUCUGGGUUCUGUCAGACUGGGCUAGGCCAUCGGGGAUUUACAGAAUAUUACCCUCUGGGUUCUUGACUGGACAGAGCCUAUGGGGCAAGCCCAACCCUAAAGCCCAUAUACAACACUGCCAUUUUUCUCUUCAUAUAUAUAGUCAAUGGUGCAGGGAGGGCGCUGGACGGAAAGAGGCAAAGGUGGGGGAGAGAUGAGAGGGGUAAUAUUGGGCUGGAAAGAUGUAGUGUGUCACUCGCUAGCUCCUUUAUGUCAUUUUUCUUUUGAACAAAUUUUUAGAUGGGAUAGAGAAUGUUCAUUUUCUGCUGUGUCACUCACUGGCUCUAUGAUGUCAUUUUUCUUUUGAACAAAUUUUUAGAUGGGAUAGAGAAUGUUCAUUUUCUACUUUAUUAAAGGUUUAGACUCUUACGACACCAAACGCAUUUUUCUCAUUUCGAAGCUCAGCGGCCGAAACUAGGGUUUUUGCAACUUUGCAGCCAUGGUAACCAAUUAUUCUCUUUCUAUAUCUAUAUGUAUGUCCAGAUUAUAAUCCUGAUCUCGUCUAUGUUCAUUUGGCCUGAAUGCUUGCAUUUGUAUGUGUGUAGGGGAAGGGAACAGGGAGCUUUGGCAAGAGGAGAAACAAGACACACACGCUGUGUGUGAGGUGCGGCCGGCGAAGCUUCCACAUCCAGAAGAGCCGCUGCUCUGCCUGUGCCUAUCCUGCUGCCCGCAAGAGGACAUGUACGUGUUUCAUUUUACAAUUCUCAAAUUCGCAUAUAUCAAUCUGUUUUUAAAUUUUAAACUUUUUUGUUGAUUUAUUUUUUGUAUGAUACGAUAUUUCAGACAACUGGAGUGUGAAGGCCAUAAGGAGAAAGACUACUGGAACUGGACGCAUGAGGUAUCUCCGCCACGUGCCGCGCAGAUUCAAGACCAACUUCAGAGAAGGUAUAAGCUUGGUAGUUUGCGCUUUGAUUUUUGAAGUUCCGUAAUUUUGUGUCUGGUAAUUAAUUUGAAAUUGUGAUGGUUGGUUUAGGCACUCAAGCUGCACCUAGGAAAAAGGGAACAGCUGCUUCUGCUUGAGGGUAUUUCAGGAUUCAGAUUUGGAUCUUAUGUUAAAGUGUACUUCUAUUGGUAUUUUAAAUCAUUAAGGGAACAAUUGAAUUUUCUAGAACAUCGUUUGAAGCGUUUUUGC
rnacentral:lncRNA from 1 species